GACGAACGCUGGCGGCGUGCUUAACACAUGCAAGUCGAACGGUGAAGGACGGAGCUUGCUCCGACCGGAUCAGUGGCGAACGGGUGAGUAACACGUGAGUAACCUGCCCCAGACUCUGGAAUAACCCCGGGAAACCGGAGCUAAUACCGGAUACGAGACGGAGAGGCAUCUCUACCGUCUGGAAAGUUUUUCGGUCUGGGAUGGACUCGCGGCCUAUCAGCUAGUUGGUGAGGUAAUGGCUCACCAAGGAGACGACGGGUAGCCGGCCUGAGAGGGCGACCGGCCACACUGGGACUGAGACACGGCCCAGACUCCUACGGGAGGCAGCAGUGGGGAAUAUUGCACAAUGGGCGAAAGCCUGAUGCAGCGACGCCGCGUGAGGGAUGACGGCCUUCGGGUUGUAAACCUCUUUCAGCAGGGAAGAAGCGAAAGUGACGGUACCUGCAGAAGAAGCACCGGCUAACUACGUGCCAGCCGCCGCGGUAACAC
rnacentral:rRNA from 1 species